rnacentral:ncRNA from 2 species
UGUGGUUCGCGCGACUGGCGCUACGAGAUGGAUCACCAUCGGGGAACGCGAACCGCACUCCGCCGCUGGCCGGAAUCGCGAAUCGCCGCGCGCCUGGGCAUUGCCU